rnacentral:rRNA from 1 species
UGGGGAAUAUUGCACAAUGGGCGGAAGCCUGAUGCAGCGCCGCCGCGCGGGGGAUGAAGGCCUUCGGGUUGUAAACUCCUUUCGACAGGGACGAAGCUUUUGUGACGUUACCUGUAUAAGAAGCACCGGCUAACUACGUUCCAGCAGCCGCGGUAAUACGUACGGUGCGAGCGUUGUCCGGAAUUACUGGGCGUAAAGAGCUCGUAGGUGGUUUGUCGCGUCGUCUGUGACAUUCCGGGGCUUAACUCCGGGCGUGCAGGCGAUACGGGCUGACUUGAGUGCUGUAGGGGAGACUGGAAUUCCUGGUGUAGCGGUGAAAUGCGCAGAUAUCAGGGGAAACACCGAUGGCGAAGGCAGGUCUCUGGGCAGUAACUGACGCUGAGGAGCAAAAGCAUGGGUAGAGAACAGG